CUAGUCAAUUCCCACGUGGUCAUGGUCGGGCCAAAUCCUGAGAAGGAAGGGACCAAGGGAAGAAGCUUUAGAAAGCAAAGAAAGGAAAAUUAUGGCUGAUGUUGUUAAAGAGGAAGAAGUCUAUGACCUUAGCAAAGUGAAUGAGGAACUGUCACCGUGGGGCCGUGGCAGCACUGGCUGCGAUUUCCUUUCCUUGAAACCAAGAAUGUCAUCUGUGACUGUGAACAAGCCCUCUCAAGGGCUGCCGGCCUGCUUCAUUGUCGUGUGGAGGGGCUAGAGAGAAGGCUCAGAGGCUGAGUAUGCACCACUCUUGCAGAGGACCUGAAAUCUGUUCCCAACACUCACUGGUGGAUCACAAUUGUCCGGAACUCCAGCUCCAGGGGAGCUGAUACCCUCUGCUGGCCAAUGAGAACUGCUCUCCAGAAACGGAGCCCUCAUCAACUUAAUCAUCCACUCUGAUUUUUAUGGCAUGACCUGAGUGCUUGAUGUCAGAGACACAGUUACCCCGGGAGUUCUACAGUUGGAACGCCCUCCAGUGUGGUCCUGGGAUAUGGUGACAUGACUGAUACCCAGGAGACCUGUUACCUGCUGUCUGCUACCAGGAGUUAGGAGGAGAUGCAGCCUUGCUCUGGACAGUCUCUUGGUGCCCUCCAGUGCCCAGAAAGGCUGUGAUCAGAGCCCUGAUACCCAGUAGCACUGUGAGAUGGAGUCUAAAUGUCCCUAGUCUGAGGCCUAGUGCUGUGUGGUCCAAGUGGGAGUCAUCUGAAGGAGUGUGGAUACCCAGAUUGUUGGACCCCAAUCUGGGGAUACUGGUUCUGUGGUCCCAGGUGGGCCUGAAAAUGUGCCUAACGGGUUUCCCAGUGCUGCUGCUGGCUGAGCUAGGAGCCCACUGUGAGACAGACUGUCCUGCACCUGUUCCCUCACAUUCUUCAGGUGGUAAAGCAUGUGGCGAGCUCACAGGUGGCCAGAGGUCAGCACCGCCCAGAGAGAGGCCAGACCUUUUAAAUUAGAGCCCCAGCGGUCAGGGAUGAGCUGACAAAGAUGAACCGACCUGAAACUCCCCCCUCCCCCCACUGUGGAGAAACAUGUCCCCACCUCUCACCUGAGAUGGCAUCAGGUGGGAUCAAUUCAGUCCCAAGACCUGUCUCUGUAUCUGGUUGUAGGAGCAGCUUUCUUGGCCCUCCACUGUGUACUCUAGACAUCAGUCAUCCUGAGUAAAUACAGAUGCAGGAGCUCCGGCAUGGUGGGAAGCAGGGGGAGACCACCAGGAGAAGCUAGAGAGACUAAAGGCUUUGCAUUUGACAGGAAAGAGAGAGUAAGGGGACCCUGGCCCCUUGAGAGGUCUGGAGGACCAAGGCAUGAGGAGGACCACGGCGUGAGGAGACGCCUCAGAUGCUUUCUUGUAUCAGUUCCUUGCCUCCCUGUCCUCAACAGGCAGGCCACCCACCCUCCCAACAUAGGACCCUUCCUUUAGGACCCUUCCUUUCCCUGGAAUUCAGAAGACCCUCACUUCCUGGGCAGUGAGGCACACAGAUAUUGAGGUUUUUGAAGAUUCAGUAUGCAUGAGUGAUCUGUGGGACUUGAACUCAGGACCUCUGGAAGAAUGGCCAGUGCUCUUAACCGCUGAGCCAUCUCUCCAGCCCUGGAGGAGGGCCUCAUAAUGAUGUUCUCCUCAAGCUGCCCUGUUCCUUUCUCUGUACCUGUGUCCACAGCCAUGGCAUGAAGUCCCCUAGUUCAUAUCCUCCAACAUAAGAAAAGUGCCUAGCAUGUUUCCUCGCAUAGGAAGAGUGACAAGUCUCCCAGCUGAUCCAAGGCUCCUGAGAGACCGAGCAGAGAACGAGGCUUGCAGGCCUAGUACUUCCAACCUGAAGUGAACGUGGACUGUCUCUCUUCCCGAAGCUUGGGCGUGAGGAUGGGGUGGGGAGUGGAAGGGGGUGGAACCUGGGACCCAGAGCGGCUCUGGAAACUUCUUACAGCAGCCCGGACGGGCCAGCAGGUGGGUGGGCAUGUCUUGGAGUCCUUGGGUCUGGGUUGACUUGUCACACUGAGGAGAACAGGGAGAAGUGAGGAGACGAUGAUAGCUUAGGAACUCAAGAUGGUCCCUGAAGCUCUGCUGUUUCUAAGGGCAGAGCCAAGUUGCCCAGAGACACCGUCUCCACCCUGUUCGCCCCAUAGGAGAACGCUGAGCCAACCCUUGGAAGUAACAGAGACAUCACUGGCGACCCCUCCCCACCCCCUGCACUCCCACCCCCCACCUCCUCAUCCCCAACCCCACACCCCACUGCCACCAUGAGGACAGGGGAGCAUUGUCUUUGUGCCUGUGACCCCUGAGAGCCCCUGGUGUCCCAAUGCUUCCCAUGAGACUUCUGCAAGCCCGGGGAUGGGGGAGGGGGAGGACUUCUGAGAGACCCCCUUCCUCACAUGCCCACCCCUCCCCCCCCAGCUCCUCUGUAGAAUGGUCGACAGCUCAGAUUCUUCAUCCGGUGAGACAGGUGAGACCCUCCUCCUUUUUAUAGGAUCGGAGCAAGAGGCAGCUGGCUGAGGCGGCCUCUCGUGGUGGUGCUGGAUUAACUAACCCACGGCACAUGGCCACAGCUCUCACAGGAGGGGGUUGGAGCUGGUGUGGCUACCUGGUUCCCUGGCACCCCUUUUCCUGGUGGCUUUAGCAUCCUUGAUAAGAUGAUACCCACCCGUGGUCGCCAUGUGGUGAGGUGCUAGUGUUAGGGUUCUGUCUAAGCUCCACCCCACAAUUACCUGCCAAGAGCCAGGUAUGCCCCUCCCCACUGUUGCCUGGCAACAGCCAGGUAGGCCUGGCCUACUAUAAAAGGGGCUGCUUGCCCCUCCUCUCUCUCCCUACUCUCCACGUGGUCAUGACCAGCCUCCCUCCACCUCUCUCUCUCUCUCUCUCUCUCUCUCUCUCUCUCUCUCUCUCUCUCUGCCUCUCUCUGCCUCUCUCUGCCUCCACUACCCCAUUAACUCCCAUCCUCUGCCCUGAAUAAACUCUAUUCUAUACCAUGUCUGUGUGGUCUGGCCCCUCCAGGAAAAGGGGUGCCUGGGCAUGGGCCCGCCUAGACACCCCCUCCCCCACAGCACUGUAUACCAGUCUCUAAAUCUCUCUCUCUUCUUAUGAACCCAACAGCUAUGUCUCUGGGUCUUUCCAGACUAUCAGCUGGGCACUUUCCUGGCCAGAGGGACUUCCUUCUCCAACCUUUACUCCUUGGACUUUGGGACCCCCACCCAGCUUGUUAAUUAUCCAGGAGGGCCUCUUAUAAAGGCUGUGCCUGCCCCAGAGGGCAGAGCUUGGGUCCAAACACUGAGAGAGGUUUGUGUAAAGCUCCCGAUUCUGUUGGGUAGACACUGUGCCGAUCCGUGAGCCGUCGCGUGGCUGAGGCUGCAGACAGGAGGCUCUCGGGAGUCUCUAAAGAUUUUCGGGCUGCAGAGACACUGUGCUUUCCAGACGAGCUGGGCGGAGGAGGUGAGCUCACUGUUGCUGUCAUUUUUUUUUUUUCCUGAGGAGGAGGAAAUCUGAGAAAUCAAGUUCGUGUUCAAAAGCACUUAGAUUCUGGAGUCCUGGGAGCUGUCUU